ensembl:lincRNA 9230009I02Rik RIKEN cDNA 9230009I02 gene
GCAUAGGCUUGUUGCUCAUCGCGCAGUGCCCAGGACAUCCCAUCAAGGGCCAGGAGUCAGCUUAACAUGGAAGGAUAGGAGAUCAUUACCCUGCUGCCUAACAGGUGGAACUGGCUGUUGUGAUUCAUCUAUUACAGUUAAGGAAAAAAAGCCAGCUGGUGCAUUAACGUGCCCCAUUUUUACUUGUCCGGAAAAGAGCUGGGGAGGGGUUAUGCAUCUGUCAUUGCAGAGGGAUCCAUUGAAACACCACAGAUUCCUCUUCAGCUCCUCCAGCCCUGAGCCAUCAAAGACACCAGCAGAGGGUGAGGAGACAGUGUAAGUCACCAGGAAGAGAGCAAGCCUCCAGCUAAAGCAUAGAGGAGAUCAUGGCUCUUCCAUCAGAGUGGAGUCUGCCUACCCAGGGCCAAGUGACGGCCUGAGCACACAGGAGAAGUUAUUUCAUUAAUGACCCCGUGUUUAUGCCUGGACUUUGGGAUGUAACAGAUACACUCAUUCAUUUGAAGAAGAGAUUUUAAUUUUUCCUUAGGAUUUGAACCACUUCCCAUUUGCAUAGGACAUCAUGAAAUCUAUACCUGUAUUAAAGGCAAAUAUUCUGUCCUACAAGACACUAGAACUACUAGUCAUAUGGGUCUCUUUUCAAGCUGUUGUCUAGAUUUUUCUGAUCAAUAUAACAAUGUAACUCAUAGUGCCAGAUAUAGUUUGGAUCUCUGUUCUUGGAAUAUGACACACAAUGCAUUCACUGUUCUAAUACCCAUUGGUUAUGGGAUACACAUGCAUCAAAUGACAAUAACAUUUUUCUACAACAUCUCAGAUCAGAGCCACUCUGGAUAUCCUGCUAUCAAAAAACAGAAACAGAGGAGAUGGACGAACACAUCCAAGAAUGGAGUCGAGCAAUGGGGAUUCUGUGUGCUUGUGAGAAAACUCCAAGAAAACAAGGCAAGAGUUCUUCAAAACAUAGAUUUGUUCUUUGUUCAUGUUUUCAGGCAGAUAGGAGUGAGUUUACCUCAGCUGUUGUUAGUCACAUGCUUCUGUGGAAAACCUAUUUUUUGCCACAUGUGGCUUGUCCUUAUGAUUGAACACCUUACUCAUGCGAUUCUUAACCCUCAGAGUAUAAAUUAUCUGAUGUUCUAAAUAAAGUUGACCAUUGC